ensembl:snoRNA small nucleolar RNA SNORD88
GGGUCCCCAUGAUGUCCAGCACUGGGCUCUGACCUCCCCUGAGGACACGGUGCCCCCUGGGAUCUUUGACACCCAGGGGUCUGAGGGACCC